AGGAGAUCUUUUUUUAAUUUAAUUUAUUAAAUUUUACUUUUUAGUAAAAAGGCUAAAAUAAUUCUUUUAGACAAGAAGACCCUAUAAAACUUUAUAUAAUUGAAAUGUAAAAAUUUUAUUUAUAUUAUACUGGGGCGGUAGAAAUAAAACAUUUUCUUUUAGGAAAAACUUAAUAGUUUAAAUAACCAAAAAUUUUGAAAUAAAAAUAAGUUACUUUAGGGAUAACAGCGUAAUCUAUUUUAAAAGUUCUCAUUGACAAAUAGGUUUGCGACCUCGAUGUUGGAUUAAAAAUUCUGGUUUGUGUAUAAGCAAGCAGUAGAAAGUCUGUUCGACUCUUAAAAUUUUCCA
rnacentral:rRNA from 1 species